UACAUCGGUGACAGGUGGUGCAUGGUUGUCGUCAGCUCGUGUCGUGAGAUGUUGGUUAAGUCCCGCAACGAGCGCAACCCCUAUUGUUAGUUGCCAUCAUUCAGUUGGGCACUCUAGCGAGACUGCCGGUAAUAAACCGGAGGAAGGUGGGGAUGACGUCAAAUCAUCAUGCCCCUUAUGACCUGGGCUACACACGUGCUACAAUGGUUGGUACAACGAGUUGCGAGUCGGUGACGGCGAGCUAAUCUCUUAAAGCCAAUCUCAAUUCGGAUUGUAGGCUGCAACUCGCCUACAUGAAGUCGGAAUCGCUAGUAAUCGCGGAUCAGCACGCCGCGGUGAAUACGUUCCCGGGCCUU
rnacentral:rRNA from 1 species